rnacentral:rRNA from 1 species
GACGAACGCUGGCGGCGUGCUUAACACAUGCAAGUCGAACGCUGAAGCCCAGCUUUUGUUGGGUGGAUGAGUGGCGAACGGGUGAGUAACACGUGAGUAACCUGCCCCCUUCUUUGGGAUAACGCCCGGAAACGGGUGCUAAUACUGGAUAUUAACUGGUCUUCGCAUGGGGGUUGGUGGAAAGGGUCUUUCUGGUGGGGGAUGGGCUCGUGGCCUAUCCGCGUGUUGGUGGGGUGAUGGCCUACCGAGGCUUUGGCGGGUUGCCGGCGUGAGAGGGUGACCGGGCACGUUGGGACUGACCUGCCGCCCAGGCUCGGCCGCGGUGGGGCAGUGGGGACAAUUGCAGAAAGGGCGCAAGCCUGAUGCCGCGUCGGUGAUGGAGGGAUGGGGGUCUUAGAGUUGUGUACCUCUUGCGCAAAUGGUCAAGCCGCAACAAUGGUUGUGGUGAGGGUAGUGGGUAAAGAAGCGCCGGCUAACUACGUG